GAUAAACGCUGGCGGCGUGCCUAACACAUGCAAGUCGAACGAUCCCGCAAGGGAGAGUGGCGGAAGGGUGAGUAACACGUGGGAAUCUACCUCCUCGCAGGGAACAACCUCUCGAAAGAGAGGCUAAUACCCAAAAGGGUCAGAAAUGAUCAGAGUCGAAAGGCGUGAGGAGAGGAGGCCCGCGGCCCAUCAGCUAGUUGGUGAGGUAAUGGGCUUACCAAGGCUACGACGGGUAGGGGAUCUGAGAGGAUGUCCCCCCACACUGGAACUGAAACACGGUCCAGACGCCUACGGGUGGCAGCAGUGAGGAAUAUUGGACAAUGGGCGAAAGCCCCGAUCCAGCAACGCCGCGUGGAGGAUGAAGGCCUUGGGUCGGUAAACUUCUUUAGAGGGAGACGAGAAAGGACGGUAUCCC
rnacentral:rRNA from 1 species